GAUGAACGCUGGCGGCGUGCCUAAUACAUGCAAGUCGAGCGAACAGAUGAGGAGCUUGCUCCUCUGACGUUAGCGGCGGACGGGUGAGUAACACGUGGAUAACCUACCUAUAAGACUGGGAUAACUUCGGGAAACCGGAGCUAAUACCGGAUAAUAUAUUGAACCGCAUGGUUCAAUAGUGAAAGACGGUUUUGCUGUCACUUCUAGAUGGAUCCCCGCCGCAUUAGCUAGUUGGUAGGGUAACGGCUUACCAAGGCUACGAUGGGUAGCCGACCUGAGAGAGUGGUCGACCGCACGAGAGCGUGGACAGGGACAUUACUCCUGCGGUAGGGAGCAGUAGCGUAUCGGCCGCAGAAGGCGGAAACCUGGCAGAACGGCGCCGCGUGAGUGGUAGAAAUCUUCCGUUCGUGAAACUCGGUUUUUAGUUGAGAACAGCUGUGGAAGGAACUGUACACGUCUUGACGGUACCGGGUCAGGAAGCCACGGCUAACUACGUG
rnacentral:rRNA from 1 species